rnacentral:lncRNA from 1 species
GGCCCAAAGAAAAGGCCCAACCUGGCUCUGCUGUAGAACAUGGCUCUGUACCUCAUUCAAAUGUGGAAGAUCUUUGAGGCCAUAGAAGAAGAAGACUCCUUGGGUUUCACAGUCAAAGGACCAGCAAUGAUUCUAAAUCUCCAGUCCACAAUCAUGUGUUACCUUCAAGUGUUGUAAUUCAGAGGAGUGAGAAAGGUUCUCAGAAGGAAAAACACCCAUGAGGCUCCAUCACCGCAGCUCAGUGACGCUUUGCUGCCACGGCCCUGCCUGAGUUUGA